CCCCUGCUCAAGCAGGAGACCCUAUACCUUUCCAGACAAAUGGAUGUCCAGUCUCUUUUUAAAAGCCUCCAGUGAUGGCGCGCCAACAACUUUUGAAGAUUUGCUCUUUGAGAGAAGCUUGACAAGAUUUGAAGGGGCUUUAUCAGCUACACACGAAUAGAGCACCAAGAGUCAUGGAAAUAAACAGAUGCAACUUAUUCAAAUAUUUCUAAUUUUGCACAGCUGAACACUCUUUCACAAAUUUGCAUGUAUGAAGAAGCCACAAGAAGUAAAAGAAAAAAGAAAACUGCUGCAGCAGUAAAGAAAUUCCCUGGAAGCAGUGCUGUUCCCACUCCCAUUGGGCAAAUUGAAAAAUUGAUGGCAA